AUUGAACGCUGGCGGCAGGCCUAACACAUGCAAGUCGAGCGGAUGAAGGGAGCUUGCUCCUGGAUUCAGCGGCGGACGGGUGAGUAAUGCCUAGGAAUCUGCCUGGCAGUGGGGGAUAACGUCCGGAAACGGGCGCUAAUACCGCAUACGUCCUGAGGGAGAAAGUGGGGGAUCUUCGGACCUCACGCUAUCAGAUGAGCCUAGGUCGGAUUAGCUAGUUGGUGGGGUAAAGGCCUACCAAGGCGACGAUCCGUAACUGGUCUGAGAGGAUGAUCAGUCACACUGGAACUGAGACACGGUCCAGACUCCUACGGGAGGCAGCAGUGGGGAAUCUUGGACAAUGGGCGAAAGCCUGAUCCAGCCACGCCGCGUGUGUGAAGAAGGUCUUCGGAUUGUAAAGCACUUUAAGUUGGGAGGAAGGGCAGUAAGUUAAUACCUUGCUGUUUUGACGGUACCAAUAGAAUAAGCACCGGCUAACUUCGUG
rnacentral:rRNA from 1 species